rnacentral:rRNA from 1 species
UGGGCGUUAAGUUGCAGGGUAUAGACCCGAAACCCGGUGAUCUAGCCAUGGGCAGGUUGAAGGUUGGGUAACACUAACUGGAGGACCGAACCGACUAAUGUUGAAAAAUUAGCGGAUGACCUGUGGCUGGGGGUGAAAGGCCAAUCAAACCGGGAGAUAGCUGGUUCUCCCCGAAAGCUAUUUAGGUAGCGCCUCGUGAAUUCAUCUCCGGGGGUAGAGCACUGUUUCGGCUAGGGGGCCAUCCCGGCUUACCAACCCGAUGCAAACUGCGAAUACCGGAGAAUGUUAUCACGGGAGACACACGGCGGGUGCUAACGUCCGUCGUGAAGAGGGAAACAACCCAGACCGCCAGCUAAGGUCCCAAAGUCAUGGUUAAGUGGGAAACGAUGUGGGAAGGCCCAGACAGCCAGGAUGUUGGCUUAGAAGCAGCCAUCAUUUAAAGAAAGCGUAAUAGCUCACUGGUCGAGUCGGCCUGCGCGGAAGAUGUAACGGGGCUAAACCAUGCACCGAAGCUGCGGCAGC